ensembl:lncRNA
CCUCCUGGCGCCAGACGCGGCCUGCCGUCACACCUGUGCCCGGCCGCCCCGAGGGGGGGCUGAACGGCGGCAGGCAGCGAGAGAAGGGACGCGGCCCCGGGUCCCUCCGUGGAUAAGUCAGCGGGUGGCUCCCUGCUUGCCAGGAGGUCCCCCCCCCGGCUCUCGGGCAGGCUGCUCGCUGAUGCCGGUCGUUACAGAAAACGCCAACCAGCCAUUCCGUGCAUACAGAAACACGCCUGUGAACUUCUCCCUGCAGUCAGCUCCUUCAGCUCCCCACUUCCACGCCAGUGAUGUUAUUUCACCCACACCUUGCAGAAGGGGCGCAUUCCACUCAUUCCUGAGCUGGGACGAGCGCCCGCAGCAUUACUCACCCACAGCAGUGUCUGUAGAUCCCUGUCUGCUGUGGAUACUAAUCUCAAUCCAGAGCUUCCUCAGACGAUUAGAGGCUGUUCUGCAAAAUGUCAAUACGCAGCCUCUCCGAAGCCAACACGGUGUGGUGGUUGAAAUGGGAGCCGUGGAGGCUUUCCAAAUAUGAAGGUCUGGAAAUGUUUGGAGGUAUUUUAAUAUUGAUGAAUACUUCAGAUUUUUUUUUUUUUUUUCUGUUGCUUCGGUGUAUCAGUGUCAAAUCUGUGUGGAUUAAUGGCAAGACAGUGCCCUAGUACCAUUCGUGUCUAUCAAAGUUCUGGCAAAUGCUAACAACUUACUGCUAUUAAUGAUCACUCUUUGCCCAGAAGUUCACAUAAUUCAUCAAAAAGCCAACAUUGAUAAGCAGAAAGAAAUUAAAUACUUCUGAGUCUUCUGUUAAAAUGCCUUUCUUUUUACUUUGUUUAACAUCUAAUGUCUCCUAUGGCAAAAGUAAGUAAGGGGAAGUCUUUUCCUUCUUCAGCAUGAAAGAGCACCCACACCACUCAAAAACAGUUGAGAUUAAACCUUUGAAAAGGUAUCAGCAGUGUGUGUAAAGCCAAAUUGGUAAAGUGUGCUCUAGACACCACUUUUGACUCUGGGGAAAAUGCUUUAUCAUCUGUCUACUGCUAUGCUCUGCCUAUUCAUCACCAUUACUCAGUAACUCUGCGGUGGCAGCUUUGUACUUAACAUGAAGCCAAAGAUCAGGGAGAGGCACACAUCAAACAAGACUUGAACUUGGAGAUGGCAAACCAUACGUUCUAGACCUCAUUCCUUUAAAGGACCGUACCUCGGAAUGAAACCUGUGAGCCUUCUCUAUAGUUUCAUUUGUUCAAUACAGUGCUCCACUUGUUCUGUAAAAGAAGUUGGCAAAAGCCCUGCUCUCCUGAGAUCUUGUCAUUCAUUGUGACUGAAACCUAAAAGGCUGCCCUAUGGUAGUAGGGCAGGUCUGGGGUACCCGAGAGACCUACCUGCUCCCUGUGCCUCCAUUCCACAUUCUUCACACACCUUGAAACCAAGGAACUGUCAAACACAGAAGCAAAGAUGGUGAGGGGUGUACACCCCCAUUCUUUGCAGCUUUCCAUGGCUGUAAAGCUCCCUGUGAAGCGACCUGAGAAUAUGUACAAUGACAGAAAACUCAUUUCUUCACCCGCCAUUUCCCAACAACAGCCAGUUCCAGCCCUUGUCAUUCUUCUACUUCUCCACACAGACGAAGGCAGGAGAGAAUUCUCUUGGUUUAACUUUAAUAAAUGGAAUCAAAGAACAGCGGAGACUGAAAGGCUCUUGUGAAGAGGAACCUAACUUCCCUCCUCAAUGAUGGUGAGAAAUCAUAGGAAGAGACACAAGGAGGCGAAAUGUAUGUGCUUCACCCUGAUAGGAUGCAGCCACAAGGGCUGAGGAUGCUGGCAGAAGUGACUGCCAAACUACUCUCUAUCAUUUUUGAAAGGAGAUCAUGGAGAAUGGGAGAGGUGCCUGAAGGCUGGAGAAAAACUGAUGUCACAAAGGGCAAGAAGGAGGACCUGUGAAACUAAAGGCCAGUCAGCCUCACAUCCAUACCCAGGAAGGUGAUGGAACAACUUACAUGCAACCUGCUCUAGGGAAACUGCUUUAGCAGUGGCGUUGCACUAGAUGAUCUCCAAAGCUUCCUUCCAGCCCUGUGAUUCUGUGAUUGUGUGAUUCUGUGAUACUUUAGAAUGUCACUGUCCGAACUAGAACCCAGUUCUUAUGUCCUGUAGGACAGCCCUGCCACUGCUGGAACACGUAAUGUAAAAUUUUUGCUGGGGGAAAACAAGAGAGUCUCCCUUUGGACUAGCUUGACUUUGAGCUCACUCACGAAAAACCAAUGACCUUUGAAAGAAUACAGAGAUGGCACCACUGACAGAUUUUUCCCCAGUUGGCUGCAAAUAAAGUUUUUUGAAAUAACUGCUAAAGCUGUAAUUUAUCAGACUUUUUCACAGAUUCCACAAAAGCUAGGAAACUCGAAAGGCUUUCUCCAGGCAGAACAUGCCAGUCAUUUGUGCAUGAAUUGCAAGAGGGGAAAUUAUAUGUUUCUUUUAGAGCUGUUGUUGCCAUCGUGGAAAGUGAACAAGCAUCUGUGCUUCAGAAAUCAGUGGAAGGAAGGUGUUCCGUGAAAGAGAGCAUGUGGGAAAGCGACUUGAAAUUGUGAGAGUAUAUGAAAGUAGCAGGAGUUCUGAAUGCCACUGGGGAGAAGAACUGGAACAAGGCUGACACAUGGAAAGGUGGUGAGAAAGCAAAAAGAAAUGUAAAGAGGAAUAUACUGAAGGGGGAAAAAAGAGAGAGAGAGAGAGAGAGAGAGAGAGAAAAAUUUGGCUAGGGAAUAGGUCUGAGCAAAUUCCAAAAGUGAGAGAGGAACAGAAAAAGAAGGAAAAAAUAUAGGGCAGAUGGAAGGUUUAUCUGUUGGAUAACUGUGCA